UACGUAGGGGGCAAGCGUUGUCCGGAAUCAUUGGGCGUAAAGAGCGUGUAGGCGGCCAGAAAAGUCCGCUGUGAAAACUCGAGGCUCAACUUCGAGCUGUCGGUGGAAACUUUCUGGCUAGAGUCCGGAAGAGGAGAAUGGAAUUCCUGGUGUAGCGGUGAAAUGCGCAGAUAUCAGGAGGAACACCGAUGGCGAAGGCAGCUCGCUGGAACGGUACUGACGCUGAGGCGCGAAAGCGUGGGGAGCAAACAGG
rnacentral:rRNA from 1 species